rnacentral:rRNA from 1 species
GACGAACGCUGGCGGCGUGCUUAACACAUGCAAGUCGAGCGGAGCGGCGAACGGGUGAGUAACGCGUGAGUAACUGCCCCCCUCUCUGGGAUAACAGUUGGAAACGGCUGCUACUACCGGAUAGUGGGGGAUGGCUCGCGGCCUCUCAGCUUGUUGGUGGGGUAGUGGCCUACCAAGGCGGCGACGGGUAGCCGGCCUGAGAGGGGGACCGGCCGCAGGGGGCUGAGGUGCGGCCCAAGCGCCGACGGGGGGCCGCGGGGGGGAAUAGGGCACAAUGGGGGAGGCCCUGAUGCAGCAACGCCGCGUGCGGGAUGCCGGGGUUCGGGUUGUAAGCCGCUUUCAGCCAGGACGCGGUAGUGGCAGAAGAAGCACCGGCUAACUACGUGCCAGCCGCCGCGGUAAUAC